ACGGAUGGACGGAGCCGGAACCUGGCAAGGUGUUCAUUUGCAACCAGGAGGAGAGCAUCAAACCCAAAAACAUCGUGGAGAAAAUCGACUUUGACAGUGUCUCCAGCAUCAUGGCCUCGUCGCUCUGAACCGACCCCCGCAUCCUCGUUAACACGGCGGAUUUUAAUUGUCUAGGAGUGAAG